UGGAGCGCUCUUAUUCUUCUUCAUCGACCUCGCUGGCACUCGCCGUGGCGAUCCUAGCGAUCGUAUGCUGCUCCGUACCAUGCUCUGCAUUCGAAGCUGGGGAGGAGACUAGGGCGGCAACUAUCAAUGCCGCUGGUUACAAGGCUCAUGAGCCGCAAGGAGACCAUGUAGGAUGGAGGCCUCCGCCGCGGCCGAAGAGGCCGUGCCCCUCGAGCUAUCCGGACUACGGCAGCGAAUACACUCUGGUGCCGCCGCCAGCUGCUGCCCUCAAAGAUCGCCAGGAGACUCUGUACGGUUCCGGUGAGGGUGGUGGAGACCGUCAAGGAUCGAAGCCUCCGUCGCCGUGGGGUCGGCGGGGCUAUGGCCACCGGUGAUUGCUGUUUUUUUUUUUUGUUUGCGCAUUUGUGCUACUUCGGCCACAUGGUUCUUUUACGGGUACCGAUGACACACGGUCAACGUCUACGGUGCUCCUUACCAUUCUUGUCUGUGUGCCAAUCUUGAGUCUUAGCAAUUUUUUUCUUACUUACCAGAAUUUGAAUGCCGUCUUAGUUAGAUUCAUGUAAUGGAACUAUGGAUUCUCCAUGAGCCGAUCCAGCAAGCACUCCUGUUCUUGUUGUACGA